GAUUAAGAACGUAGUGAAAUGCGAUAAGUAAUGUGAAUUGCAGAAUUCAGUGAAUCAUCGAAUCUUUGAACGCACAUUGCGCCCGCCAGUAUUCUGGCGGGCAUGCCUGUUCGAGCGUCAUUACAACCCUCAGGCCCCCGGGCCUGGCGUUGGGGAUCGGCGAGGCGCCCCCCGCGGGCACGCGCCGUCCCCCAAAUACAGUGGCGGUCCCGCCGCAGCUUCCAUUGCGUAGUAGCUAACACCUCGCAACUGGAGAGCGGCGCGGCCAUGCCGUAAAACACCCAACUUCUGAAUGUUGACCUCGAAUCAGGUAGGAAUACCCGCUGAACUUAAGCAUAUCAAUAAGCGGAGGA
rnacentral:misc_RNA from 1 species